GGUAGGUCUCUGUGAGUUUGAGGCCAGCCUUGUCUACAUAAUGAAAACCUUGUCUCAAAAAAAAAAUCUAAUUACGUGACCCAGAUCAUAGACCCAGAUGACUUUUCCACUUUGAAAACAAUUUUUUUCCUAGCCUUAAUGACAGCUGGACUUCCAAACUGUAGUCUUCAGACAGAAGGACAUGUGCUGGGAAGAAAGUCAUGUUGCCUAUUCUUCUCAGAAGUGAGGAAUUACAAGAGGAAGAGAGAGGUCUUGAGUUGCAGCCCUCGAAGGACCAGCUCAUGAGCAGGAAGACGUGGACCAGGGAGCCUCAGGGUUGUCACUCUGAAGAAGAAACCGGUCACCCAGUCACCUGCUCAUCAUCAUUACCCAAAUGGCUCAGAGGUGCCGAGGAAUGACUAUAAAAUAAAUACUUCAGAGGCUGUGAGCAGGACGUGUGCCAGCCAGCUCCUCGAGAAGCUUGGGGAACCAGGAGUUGGAGGACAGCAUGACUUACAUAGGAAGGACCUGUCUCAGAAAUAAAUAAACAUGAAAGAAGA